rnacentral:lncRNA from 1 species
UGCCAGUCCUUGGAGGAGUUUCCAGGCUGUGAUAAGACCUUAUUUGUGUUUUUGACAGAAUUUGGACAGGAGAAGUCACAUCAGGGAGACCAGAGACUAGAGUAUUGCAUCAUAGAGGAAAGACACUGAUGACAAGAACUCAGGGGAGCAGUGGAACUGGAGGCCUGGGAGCUUGGGACGUGUUCUCUGGGUGAAGUUGGCCGGCCAGCUGAUGACCUACACCAGUGGCAUUCACUCCUCAUGUGUCCCCCAGGAAUUCAUGGUGUGUGUCAUCAGCAGUGGCCACUGCCCUUGCAGGGGAUCCCGUCCUGCAAACACACAUCUUCUGCACACUCAUGCGAAGUCCCGUUGAACCACUCUGGAAGAUCCCAUUCGCUGGACUCUUGUCUGCACACUUCGACCGAUGGCAUGAUCUGGCAGUUUUUGCAGCAAAGCCCCAAAACACAAGCAGCCCCAGGUUUGAAAGUGCAAUUUGCAAAGCAACAUGGCUCUUUUCACACGAUGGCCAACACCUGCAGUGUCCAUUGUAAUGAAGUUUUCUUGAGUCCAGAUCUCAAGUCCCACUACAGUGACAAUGGCACCCAGUGGAAUAUAAAAUGCAUCAGCUUUUUGAUACAGCAUGAGUACUUCCUCCUGCACAUUUGAGGUAUGACUUUCCAGAUAAAGGAAUCAUUCAUCAACUACCACUACUGCCAGUUCAACAAACAAUUUAUGGGUCCACCAGCCCUCAAAGCCACUUUGCAUUAGAGUAGAAGGAUCUUGAAACUUCAAUUGUCUUGCUAUUUCUUCCUCUAUCAACCCACAUCUCAUGGGUGGGAAUUGUGUCUCCUCAUUGUCCAUCUUAUAUAUCAGAUGUUCAAAUGUGGCUGAAAGCCUUUUGGGCUUGAUUUCCUAAGCAGUGUCAUUUAUCUGUGGUAUUCCUUGAAAGCCCCCCAAACAGCUGCUAAGAGCAACCAGGGAUUCUGGGUCCCCUUCCACAUAACUGUGAUAGUAGCAGUCAUCCUGGACAAAAGUUGGUCCUCAAAAAUAGCACCCUGGUCUGAGUAGGUGAACACAGAGAAGGAUUUGGAUAUCAAAAAUAUCAAAAGCUUAUUGACCUUCAUGUGGACAAUGUACCUUUGGCUGCCAACUUGCAGGCCAUAGGACAGCCAGCCUUGAGUGUCCAUGCCUCUGUCAGCGCCAGUUAUCCUCAGGGGUAUCACCACUUCUGGGAGGCUUUGGUGUUGACAGAGCCCAAUCUGGAGCCAUCCAGAAAAGAACAGAAACACUCCCAGCCAGAGCAGCAGAUGGGUGAACCUCACAUGGAC